UACGGAGGGUGCAAGCGUUAAUCGGAAUUACUGGGCGUAAAGCGCACGCAGGUGGCUGAGUCAGUCGAUUGUGAAAGCCCUGGGCUUAACCUGGGAAUUGCAGUCGAUACUACUCAGCUAGAGUAUGGGAGAGGGUAGUGGAAUUCCCGGUGUAGCGGUGAAAUGCGUAGAUAUCAGGAGGAACACCGAUGGCGAAGGCAGUUCUCUGGGCCGUAACUGACGCUGAGGAGCGAAAGCGUGGGGAGCGAACAGG
rnacentral:rRNA from 1 species